rnacentral:tRNA from 1 species
GACCCCGUGGCAGAUGGGUAAUGCACCCUCUACCGGUUUCGCGAGCCGUAGAGGCAGAUGUGGGUUCGAGUCCCACCGGGGGCAC